CUUCGGGAAGCAGCAGUGAGGAAUUUUGGCCAAUGGCGCCAGCCUGAUCCAGCCUUGCCGCGUGCAGGAUGACGGUCCUAUGGAUUGUAAACUGCUUUUAUACGAGAAGAAACCCUGCUUCGUGAAGCAGCUUGACGGUAUCGUAAGAAUAAGGAUCGGCUAACUCCGUGCCAGCAGCCGCGGUAAUACGGAGGAUCCAAGCGUUAUCCGGAAUCAUUGGGUUUAAAGGGUCCGUAGGCGGUUUAAUAAGUCAGUGGUGAAAGCCCAUCGCUCAACGGUGGAACGGCCAUUGAUACUGUUAAACUUGAAUUAUUAGGAAGUAACUAGAAUAUGUAGUGUAGCGGUGAAAUGCUUAGAGAUUACAUGGAAUACCAAUUGCGAAGGCAGGUUACUACUAAUGGAUUGACGCUGAUGGACGAAAGCGUGGGUAGCGAACAGGAUUAGAUACCCUGGUAGUCCACGCCGUAAACGAUGGAUACUAGCUGUUGGAAGCAAUUUCAGUGGCUAAGCGAAAGUGAUAAGUAUCCCACCUGGGGAGUACGUUCGCAAGAAUGAAACUCAAAGGAAUUGACGGGGGCCCGCACAAGCGGUGGAGCAUGUGGUUUAAUUCGAUGAUACGCGAGGAACCUUACCAAGGCUUAAAUGUAGUUUGACCGAUUUGGAAACAGAUCUUUCGCAAGACAAAUUACAAGGUGCUGCAUGGUUGUCGUCAGCUCGUGCCGUGAGGUGUCAGGUUAAGUCCUAUAACGAGCGCAACCCCUGUUGUUAGUUGCCAGCGAGUCAUGUCGGGAACUCUAACAAGACUGCCAGUGCAAACUGUGAGGAAGGUGGGGAUGACGU
rnacentral:rRNA from 1 species